rnacentral:sRNA from 1 species
UAACCAUCAACUAAGAGUCUCCAGAUCAGAGCAACCAUCAACUAGGAGUUGGAUUCCUGUCUCUGAGGGAUAAGGAAAAACAUGGAAACUGUUUACUACAGCGGGCAGCUGGAGCAGGAAACGAGGCAGCAGCUCUUUUCCUGGCAACCAACGGUGCCCAUGUCAACCACAGAAACAAGUGGGGAGAAACCCCAUUGCACACAGCGUGUCGGCAUGGCCUGGCCAACCUCACGGCAGAGCUCCUGCAGCAAGGCGCCAACCCAAACCUGCAGACGGAGGAAGCUCUGCCUCUGCCAAAGGAGGCCGCAUCCCUGACCAGCUUGGCGGACAGUGUCCAUCUGCAGACACCACUGCACAUGGCAAUC